AGAAACUCAACCUCUGCAGCUCUAUCUAGACCAAAGGCAUCCUGAGUCAUAACUGCCAUCAGUUUAGUCAGCCCAGUUUGGUUGGAGUAAAUGGUGCCCUUUUAUAUCCAAUCUGCACUCCUUUUCCCCCAGGGCAGGAGAGCCAAGCAGAUACUCUGGUACCUUCUUUAUUGUCCACAAACCCUGGAGAGAUCAAGCUGGGAUUCAGGUUUUGGUAUCAAACAUGGAAAUACAGGUAUAAUGAUAGACAAACUCAGCAGCAGUGCAGAAUCCUCAUCACUGCCUAAGAUCUUCUCUGGUGUAUCUUCCCAGCCCCACAAAGCACUGAAAUACUGCUAUAAGGAAGCCUGUGGAUAUUCCUACCUGUGAAAGCUCUUGGAAGAAGCAGAAGCAAUGGAAGCAGCCAUUUCUAGCCACUCCCUCUGUGAUUUCCCAUCAGGGACAGGAUCCCUGCACAGGAUGCAGAUCUCUGACAUCUGCAAGUGGAGGAUGUGCAUUCAGUAAUGGUGUUGGAAUUCAAACAGCACAAGUAACUGCCUAUUCAUAGCACAUUUAUUUGCUGUACACUGCUUUCCAUUACUUGCCCUUUCACUUUGUUAUAUAUGUCACAGGUGAAAACUCAUGUUGCUCUUCCCCCUCUGUGGUUAUCCUGAAAAAAAAAAAAAAAAGGGUCACAGGAGGCAAUACAGGCCAAUAAAAAAUGGUGCCAAUUUGUCUACUUCCUGGUCAUGUAUUUCCUAAUACUUUGUGCUUCUCUCACAAAAUGAGAGGUUUAUUAGACAUCCUGUCUCUGGCCCUGGCUCUUGGAAGUGUCUCUCAGCCUGCCAUUCCCCUGGGCACAAGGCAGCCUGGGAAGGGAUGACCAAACUCUUUCAUUCCUACAUGGGGAUCUCCUCAGCCAGCCCCAGCUUGUGCAGGAGACACUGUGUGCUUUGCCUGAGGGUUGCUGUGCAGACUGUUUGAAUCCAUUUGGAGCAAUGCAAUGGGUGAAAUGCAGGGAUGUGCUGCGCAAAGCAGCCCUCAGUUAGUCCAGCUGCUCCUGGAAUGAGACAAAGAGGAGUGGAGUGAAAGAACUAACAGGAGUUACCAAGGCUUGAGAGAGAAAACCUUCUGUUUUAUAAAGUCAUUUGCAUUUCCCACCUGGAAUCAUAGCCCCAUAUCAACUGGCAUUAGCUUUGGAUACACAGAAAAAUAACACAAGCCUCCCCCUGUAAUCUAUUUCCCAUCUUCAUUUGUGACUUUCAAGGCAAAAUACUAACAGGAUUCUUUGGAGCUUUCCUGUCCUGUUUCUAGCACUCCUGAGAGUUACUGGAAGUGCUGUGACAGCAGCCUCAGAAGGAAACAUCACAUCCUCCAGGUGCUGGACUGCAUCUCAAGAGUCAGUCUCCUCUUUUGUGCUGAUGCUGUUUUAUCAGUUUAGCAAAGCCCAAAAUGGAAUUUCACAAGCAGGGAGCAGAUGUAAGAUGCAGCCCUGUCCAUUUGAUAGCUCAAAAUCUGAAAAGCAGCUUCCCCAUCUCUCCCAUUCACCUCUCAACAGCAGAGUGCUGGGCUGAGCUGAUGGCAGUCCUGGUAGGCAGCGGGUUUUUCUGGUUGAUCGAAACCUGACAUUUGUCUGGGCAGCAGAAGGCCACUGACUGCCAGGGGGAGAUUAUGCAGCCUGUCAUUAAUCCAGGGCUGUGCUCACGCUUCCAUAUGUGCAGGAAUGUUUCUGGAGCAGCGCUCGUGGUGCCUUCCCGGAGCGUACGAGCACGGCGCGCACCGUCUGCCUCUCGGGCUGGAGGGGCAGAAAUUUCAAGGUCAGACCAAGAUUGUCUUUCAGCACAGAAGAGAAGGACAUGGGCAGCCACAGGCUGUUACCUGGAUGGAGUGUUGCAGUAACAGGCUUUGUCCUUUCCACAAAAGAACGAUGGGGAAGCGCUGGGCACCAGAACCGGUGACAUUUGCGUGCUGACACAUCGAGCUGGCAGAAUUGAUUGGACCCUGAUCUUCACUCUACCUGCAGCCUCCUCUGCUUUAAGGAGGAUCCAGAGCAGGACACUCUGGAUUUCUGAAGCAAAUCCACCACUGCUUGGUGGGAUCCUUGUGUUACCACCCUGUGAUGCUGUGUCACAUCUGGAAAGGAGCAGGAGAGGAAAGGCACGACCAGUUCAGAUACAGCAGGAGAACAGCCUGGUAGUGCAUGAGAAAGCAAAUUUAUGAUUGUUAACCUGUGCAGAGAGAGGCAGAAAUCCUCCCUGUGGGUACAGGGAAAGGAAAUGAGUUAAUGCUGGCAUGGGAAUAGCAUUAAAGCAAUCCUUAGAGUCUCAGUCCUCACAGGGGGUCCUUUCCAUGGAAAACCCAUUUGCCCUGAAUGAAUGAUUCUGCAGCACUGCCAAAGGAAAGCAUGUCGUGGAGAGAUUAUAUUUUUACCUUUUGGGCUCAUACUUUGAUACACUGACAGAGAGGACAAUGUGGCUUACAGGCUGCUAUAACCAAGCACAAUCAGAACAUAUUUUGGCACAGUCAAAUGUCACUUUCAAAAACCUUCUUGGUAGCAAAGAAAGGAAAUAGUUGCUGAGUGUAAAAAAGAUAGACCAAAGGGCCUGUGAUUCAUGCUCUGAUCAUGUUCUGUCAGUGUGUCUGUGCAGUGGAGUAUAUGAAUAACUGGUGGAGUUUGAUAAUAUGCUUAAAUACUGCUCCUGCUGCUAAGCAUUAGCAUGGCUGUGUGACAGCACAGCAGAGAGGCGAGGCACAGCCACCAGGAAAGGCAAGACAGGCUGCAGUGAGCUGCAGGGCUCUGGCUCUUCAGCAAUAUGCAAGCAAGGGAAGCAAAUCUUGAUUUAAUCUUCAGUUGAUGUGCCUUUUAGGUAGCUUUCCUAUAGCUCUGUGUUACUAGAAACAAGCCACGAAUUUUGGGGGUUUUGUUCCUUUUCAGAAUUUCUGUAAGGAUUAUAUUUUUAAUCAAAGCCAGUGGCAACCUGGUGGGGAGUUGUGGAACAGCCUUGCUGUUCUUUGUGCAUUAAAAUGCCCAACUGUGGCAUCACAGGUCAGACAUUUGCAUAAUCAGUGUUUUCAAUUAAUUGUCACUGGAAAGGAUUUCUGAGAUGCUCAUUUCUGUAUGGCAGAGCCACCUCUGCCUUUAUGGCAGCAGGCACACAUUAAUUUGGUUCAAGCUUGUGCUUUUCCCAGUGUCUCUGUAUGUGAAAAACCAAUGGAAGUUUGGGGUGAUCUAUUAAUGCAGAGGGCUUGGGCUCAUCUCUGACUUUGCUAAGAGCAUGUUCCAGCUUACACAGGGUUAGAGAAGGGGCAUGGCAGAAACAGAACUGCUCUGCAUUGGUUGUGCUGAUGUCCCCCUACUCCUCCCUUGGGCUGGAGGAGGUUGGCCUUCGAUGGCCAUCAGUGACCUGCUGGCCAAACCCUCUCUUCUGGCACUAUGAUGCUGAGAGGAUGCUCUUCCACUCUACUUGUUCCCUGCUUUUCUCCUGGGCCUGGUGGUGACCCCACUGGAACUCUCCAAACUGCAGCUGAGUCACUUUGUCAGCUGCUGUUGGAGGGAAGGUGAACAUGUUAAUCCAAAUAACAGGGAGGAAAUCCCUCGUUGUCCCCAUUCCCUUGCUGCAUACUCAGUAAAAUAGUUGCAGAUCAGUCCUGCUGGGAACAAACUGGGAAGGACAGAAGGGAAGCUCUCAGCUCCAUCCCUUCUCACACACACACAGGGCUGGCUGGCUGGAGCACAGCAAUAAUACCUCAAACAAGGUGCUGCUGCCCCUGGGCUCCUGUAAGCUCUGGAGGGUCUGUGCCUGUGCUCCACCAUGGCUCCAAACUCACCAGCGAGGCAGGGAUGUUGGACAGAGCAGGAUCAAGUCCUUAGCUGACAGCUCAGCCAUCUGCUAGGCCUGCUGCCCUGUGGCAGCUGUGGAUGCCAGCUCUGACUCUCAACAGCACAUCUGUUCAUUUAAAAAAAAUAAAUCAGUGUGUUGUUUAAGGUCAUUCUAUAUUCCCCAGAAACAAAAGCCUGGUUUUAGAAGCUUUUCCAAUCUCAGUGAACUGGCUGAGCUCAUAGCACACUGGCUUUAUCCUCGUUUGUGUCACCAAGUGUGAGAUCUCAGGCCAGGUCCAUGUUGUCCACCUGCCUGCUCCUCCUUGGCUUCUGCUUGAAUUUCUCCAUGACAUCCCAAGUCAGAAGUCUCUUCUUCUGGACCAGAGCCCAGGACAUCAAAGGACAGAAGGGACACAGAACCCCACAAGGGAAUUCUUAAUCUGCACCAUAAGCUGGAAGCCAGGCCAUGGUGUCAAACAUCUAAAAUAAUUUUCCAUCCCACUGAGAUGUGAGCAGCCAGGUCCCAUCAGAUCAGCACUGUGCUUUGCUCUCCCAUCCUGCCCAGAGCAGGGAGAGUGCACAGCUCCAAACACACCAGAGGAUCUUGCAGUGUGUUACUUUGAGCCAUGAUUUGGGACUGCCUAUCUUUGUGGCCUAUGAAAAUCAUAUCUGCUUUGUACAAAAGGCUUGUUUGCAAUGUAUAAAUCCUGGGAGCUGUAAAAUACCAACAGCUGCUGGAAAGGGCACUGGAAGUUCAGCAGCUGGAGACUGUUUGAUCUCUCUGUAGCUCAAGUCCUGCUUAUAAUAAUAGUCUCAGAAGCCAGCAGAUAUUCUCAAUAAGCUCUGCUCAGCAACAGAUACUCUUCAAAAUGAUAUUAAAAAGGAAAAUAUGUGUCAAAACCAGACAAAGGGUCAAGUCUUCUCCUCACAAAAGCUGCUCCUUGAGAUUACACAUGUAUGCGAAAUGAGCAGGUUUUAACCUGUGGUCUCUGCCACAGCUUUUAGAUCUGUCAUUUUUCAGGCUUCAAACAAACCCUCAGCUCAUCUGAAGUCCUGCAAACCCCAGGCCACUGAAUUUUAACCAGACACUCCUACAUCACGCUUGUUUGCUCUGGAGCAGAUAUUUUAUCUUCAGGCUUCAGCUCACAGACAAUUUAACAAAUCUUCAGGCUGUUCCCGCUGCUCCUCAGUUGCUUAUUUACCCUCAGGUUGAAAAAGCUGAAUUUUAUCCCUACAGGAAGCUCAGGCCAGGGGGGCUGCAUCCUGUUUGCUGUAUUUCCACUUUCACCAAUGUUUCUCUAGGCUUCCAGUGAGAAGUGGCUCUUCCCCACCAUCUGUGUUUUUUUUGCUGUAAUCACACCUUGAUGUAACACUAAAAAUUAGGAUUGAGCACAAACAGAAGUUUCUGCAGCACAAGGCAGACCAAGAGGUAAUUACAAAAUUGCCAUCAGUCCAAACAAGGCAUAACAAGCAGGUUUUGGACUGGAGACUGAAUGGUCUUCUAGGUUUCAAUUCCUGAGCAUGUUUUGAGUGUUUCACAAAAAAAAAAAAAAAAAAAAAAAAAAAAAA
rnacentral:lncRNA from 1 species